AGUGAACGCUGGCGGUAGGCCUAACACAUGCAAGUCGAACGGCAGCACAGUAAGAGCUUGCUCUUACGGGUGGCGAGUGGCGGACGGGUGAGGUAUACAUCGGAAUCUACUUUUUCGUGGGGGAUAACGUAGGGAAACUUACGCUAAUACCGCAUACGACCUACGGGUGAGAGCAGGGGAUCUUCUGACCUUGCGCGAUUGUAUGAGCCGAUGUCGGCUUAGCUAGUUGGCGGGGUAAAGGCCCACCAAGGCGACGAUCCGUAGCUGGUCUGAGAGGAUGAUCAGACACACUGGAAGUGAGACACGGUCCAGACUCCUACGGGAGGAAGCAGUGGGGAAUAUUGGACAAAGGGCGAAAGCCUGAUCCAGCCAUACCGCGUGGGUGAAGAAGGCCUUCGGGUUGUAAAGCCCUUUUGUUGGGAAAGAAAAGCAGCAGGUUAAUACCCCGCUGUUCUGACGGUACCCAAAGAAUAAGCACCGGCUAACUUCGUG
rnacentral:rRNA from 1 species